GCUACAACUAACAUGGCAUCUCUAGUUGUAGGGAAUAUCAUCAAUGUGGUUGAUUUUGGCGCAAUAGUUUUUAUAUGUGCGAAUAGUAACAUAUUUGACAUUGUAAAUAAACGUAGAAAUGGAGAAAUUGAAGUGUUGCAAGCAGUACCCUGAGGCUUUCCUGGGACCAACUGAGGAUAUGUGGACUUUAUAUAAACAUUUUAAUUCAAUAAUCCAACGAAACUUAAGUUGUCCCACCGAACAUUCCGUAAUAGAAUUGGAGGCCCAUUUUAAGAAAUAUAAACAAAGCUUUUCGUCGUUUCUUGCAUAUCCGCAAAAAAACGAAAAGCACAGACAACUACUGAAAAAUGGUCUAAUAGAUGGAGUAUCAAUAUCGAAGUAUUCGCGAACUGUGGCGAUUUCCAAAGAUUUAAUUGACGAAGCUCUAAUAAUAUCUGACAUGUUCAAUGUAGAUGAAAUGAUGGCACUGGAAUUACUUUGUACUGCUCAGCGGGAAAUGUUUAAACAUCCCGGAUUAUCAAGAGGAUUAGUUGCUGUUUUGCUUUACUACGAUGGUAAAAAGGCAUUGGCACAUUCUCUUCGGGAUCUCUUUCGUGUAACUAAUGGAAUUUCUUGGGAAACCGAUAUACCUAAAGAGAUAACAAGCUUGGUUUCGUCGUUUACACAGAAUUUGGUUAACCAUUACAACAUUCUCGAAAGAAUCGUGAGCCUACUAGAAGAGUUAGACAUAUCGAAAGAAAUCGUGAUCUUAACAAAAAAUCGAGCCUUGGGGUCAAAAAAACACCAAAACCAAGUGCAACAACUUUACAAUGAUAUCAAGAUGUCAUUAGCAACUGCUUUAUUUUAUUGGGCAGCGCAGCGUGGCCUUUCGAAAAGCAUUGUUGUUAAGCUUAUCAAAAAAAUGCCUAAAUUUGCACAAGUCCAAGCGUCAGGCACAGUUGAUGAUAUAACACUAACAGUGCUUUUUGCUAUACUAUAUGCGUGUGAUACCAGCGUUUUGCUCAAAUAUGAAGCUUCGACAACUGUCUCUCAAAAUAUUCCUAUUCUUUGUCAAGGAGACUUUUUGCAGACCGUGCAUGAAGUUUUGAUUUCAACUCAUCAGGAUGGUCUAAAUGGAACAGUAAAACUUGCAUUCGGCUUAGCAUUGACAGGUUUCCGACAUGCAUCCCAGCAAGUACCGAAUUCAGUGUCGAAAGUCAUAACCUGUGAUGAGCAACUUAUUGAUGCAGCUAUCAACAGUAAAGUGUUUGAUUUUUUAUAUUACUAUGUUUUGGAAAACAGAACUCUAUACCGGCACGAAUUCUUUUACCGUCGCGUUCAUAUGAUAAUUACCGACUUUAUUGAAUUUAUGCAUUCUAAAGUAACUGAAUUACGAGGAAAAGCUGAUGAAACCGCACGAACUGUUAUGGGAUUUUUAAAAGAAGGCUUAGAGCCACCAUUUAGUUUAGACCACAGUUUUGAAAUGCUGAUGUUAUGUAUAGCCAAGUUUUACAAAAACAAUCAAGCAGGACUUUCAUUGUGCGUAGAAUUUUGGAAACCACUUGAUUCAACGUUCAGCUCAUUGAAAACGACUACUCGUUCCGUAUCUUUGUUUAAGUUCAUUCGUUUGGCCGGAGAACUAUUGCCAUCUACUUUGUUUGUAUCUUAUUUAAAAAUGAUAGCUGGUUUGACAAGUUGUGAACGGUCUGCGCGUAAUACUUUUAAUCUGUUAAAACAAGCUUCAGGAUUGACUGGAAGUACAACCUUAUCCUGGGAACAUUUUUUUGGGUCUCUGAUUCAAUAUUAUUCAAACUUACGACAGGAACAUUGUCUUGGUACUGAAAUAUCGUACAAAACUCACUUAAACCGCAGUAUUAACCCGCAAGAAAUAGAAGCCCUUCAAGCAGUACUCGAAGUGAUAAGAGCUGUGGCUACCUACGAUGAAUUGUCAAGAAUAGCAAUAUGCGAAAAUCCGAAUUGGGCGCCAUUACAAAUUCUUCUAGGUUUGUUGAGCUGUCCGGUGCCGCUGGCAUUAAAAGGAAAUAUCUUGCAAACAUUGUCUGCCCUAGGUAGUUCUAAGGAAACGGCAACAAUCCUUUGGAACAUUAUCGAGGCGUCUCAAAUCAUUCCAACAUUGCCUGUAAUUGGUUCUCUAAAUGCCUGCAAUAUCCAAACAGAAAUAUCACAAAAUGAAGUCCGGCUUGAAAGCUAUACUCUUUCCCAAGGAAUACUGGAUCUAAUUUUUUCCUUAUUAAAUGCUUACGUGCCUAAAAACUUAGGAGCAGAUCAUCGAAAGCCAGGGCUGCAACCUUACAUAACGUUUGUUAUUGAUGAAAUUUUCUUUAAAUUUUACGACCGGCAAUACAAAAACCUUACGGAAAAAUGGGAAAUCGGUUUAAAAUGCUUAAAAAUAAUAAAUUAUUUAGUUCAAGCAUAUGAACCAAAAUCCAAUGAUUUUGUAGAGCAGAAUGAUCGAAGCCCUCCAUUGGGAUAUUAUAUAAUGCUGCAUCUGCAAAAAAAAUCUCAUUUCUUGAGUCUUCUGCUUCUAAUAAUUGAUGACGCACGACAGAGACUUGAUGAAUACGAACAAUUUAAUGAAAGAGAAAUGCUUGAAGAAUGUGCUCUUCUUUGCCUUAAGAUAAUCGAAGAAGGAUUAAUCAAACAAAAGGAGUUUUUAAACUCUCAUGUUAUAGCAAACAGCCCAAAUAUACUUUUUGGUCUAAACAAAAUCCUUUUAGAUGUCAAUCCGCGCAGCCAAAGACCAGAUCAUCUUUUGAACAUAACGAAAUUUGUAACCUAUUGCAGUUGGCUACCUAAUCACUCACUUACUGCUAUAAAUAUACUUAAUAUGGUGUCAAGAAUGCCGAAUAUCUCAAACCAAGUAUUGGAUGUAUUUAUUUCAAACGGACAUAUAAAUGAGGAGAUUCGUCAAGGUUUUGUUGAUUGCAUGGAUAUGGAUACAAACUCAGAAACGCAUAAUUUGUAUGGCAAAUCGAACGAUAUCCAUUCUUCGUAUAAGAUCAAUCUCAAAAUCAAAACUUCAAUAAUCGAAUUGCUUCGAAAUUGCAUAUCACAGCCAUAUCCAAAUAUCGGGUUUUACCUUCUUGGAUUUGAAUAUACGAACGAUGCGGUUGAAAAACGAAAACUUGGUAUUACCGAGUCAACCAAUCACUGCCUGAAAGCAGUAAUAGCUUUAUUAGACAAUCAUUUAGAGAUGAUGAAAACUUCAAACACAUAUGAUGCCGAUUUGGAACAUAUUAUGAAAAACUCAUAUUUUCUCCUAUAUUUAUUGUGCUCAAAUACCCGAACGUCAGAGGGAGUGUUGCGCUAUUUACGUUCUUCAAAUGAUUUUAUAUGCAGGCACUUAAAGGAACUGCCAUUUAAAAAUAUCAGCUAUUCAAGCAUUUUAUAUCAGAUAAGUUACUUAUUGGAAUGCACCGCAACAGAGUUAAAACUGGCAAGUUCUUACUGUCAAAUAAGUAGAGUUCAGCAGAUUUGUGAAAUUUUAGUGGGCACUGCUACUAAUAAAACUGAAGAUCACAUUUCAAUCAAUUCGACAUUAUUUUUUUCCCAUUCAUCUCCGGUUUUAAGUGAACAUUUCAUUAAAUCAAAGUCGGAAAAAGUGCCCAACUUUUUGCUUAGUAACAUUAUGGACUGGCUGGUGUUUGAGACAAGAGAUGUAAAUAAUCCUAAAUGGGAUUUUUUUGAUAUAUCUCUAUCGAAGCAGAUAUUUGAAGAGUGUGAAUCAAGCACUGAGGAAGGUCACUCGUUAAUUAAUAUACAAAAACUACACAAAAUACUUCAUGAUGAGUUAUGUAAUGUGCAGGGCACUGUGGCUGGUGGGCAGCGGAAACUAAUAUUGCAAGAAAUUGAAUCUAUAUUGAUGUAUGCCCUUAAAAUAAAUGAAACAAGGAAUAGAACUAUGGGAACAAUAAAAGUAAUGGACGCCUGGGCACAGGUUACUGAAAUCUUAUUUAUUUACGCCUCAGAAAAUACUUUGCCAUGUUCUGUAAAACAAGAACUAUUAUUCGAAAUAUUACAAAAACUUCUCAACAAAGCAAUAUCCAUUCAACCUUCUUUAGAUAUAUCCAUUUUAGCAUCAGAAGCAAUUUUUAUACUUAUUGUCUGCCUAAGACAAUGUUUUUCGCAGAAAACGGAAAGUCCAGGAAUGGAUAAAAAUAAAACAUCAUAUUUUGAUAAUAUGAAAAUAAUAAGCUCUCACUCAAAUAUCUUAAAUUUAAAAUCAAUAUUAAAACGUCUUUUGGAGUGGAUUGUUAUCAGCAAUGUGAAGUCGCAAAAGUUGCGAAUCAAUUUGUAUGCUGCAGUAUUGACCUGCUUACGAAUGUUAAAUGGGCACCUCUUGGAAAACGUAACAUAUCGCAAUGAUGAGUCAUUUGUAUCUCGCUUGGAUAAAGAAUUGGCAUCUAUGAAUUCAACAGGUGUACAAGUUCCGACCGAACUAUUUUCUACCUUUGGAGACAAAUUAAUUGAUAUAAUGUGCCAGGAUUGCGUUAUUGGUCACGACAUAUGUAAAAUGCUUGCGAUGUCGUGCUUUGUUUCAGCACUGGAGUUUAACACUAUUCCUAGCGUUAUGCAAUUGUUUGCUAAUCGGGGUUAUUUGGCAAAUGUCAUUGAAAACUUAGAACAAUCAGAUCAAGAUUUAUGCCUUGUAGUAAGCGAUUCUGUUAAAAAUAUUAAAGCAAUAUAUGUAUACGAAUCGCAUAUGGCACUGUUGCUCCGAUUUGCUAAUUGUUCCAUGGGUGCGGAAAUGUUACUUUCGGCUAAACUAUUAAGUGUUCUGUCGAAAAUGAAAGUGUUUAAUAUGCAUCCGGAUUUCCAGGGACUCCUUCGCAGCCAAAAAGAAGCACAUGAAUUUCUUCCCGCAGUGGAUAACCGGUUUCGCCAAAUAUUUUUCCCCGCUCUACAACUAUGUAACGCUCUUAUAACAACUCUUGGAAUGAAUAAUCAAUCAGCAAUUUCACAAACUGCAAAUUUUUUGUUUUCUCAUUUUGAAAUCAUCGAGUUUAUAUUACGAACCGGAAUAUCUCAGAGAGAUUUGGGUAUUUUGCAUGAACUCUCCGCUGUUACCAGUUUAAUUAGUCGUAUUAUGAGAAAGGAAAUAUGCAUGCCUGAUGAUGUAUCAAAUCAAAACAAUAUCUACAUUCAUAAAAUUAACAGAUAUAUGCUUCAUAUAUUUUGUUAUUUUGUGUUAAAUAAUGAUAUUUUGAAAAGAAAUACAAAACCUGAUGCUCAAAUUUAUGAAAUUUCUGAACAUAAUAGCUUGUAUAUUAAACAUUUCGUUGAUAUUACCGCGAACGUCACAAUUUUCUUUCGUUUUAAACUUACAAAUGCAAUGAAUUUAAGCGAUAUUCUAUUCACUCCAAAAAGAAGCACAUCAUUCAAAAGAAUGGAGAAACUGGAAAAAAAUGUGAACGAAUCACUUGAUUUCUCAACCGUCCUAAAUCAUUUACAAGGUUCGGUAGAAUAUCUCGAUAUGCAAAAACGAGUUACUGGCAAUAAAGUCUCACAGAAAUCAUACAUAGCGGACGCAAGUAUUAAUAAUUCUGGUCAUCCUUCGUGCAUCGAAUGGGUUCAGCAACAAGACAAUAGACAAAAAGAGUUCUCACUAUACAUAUUCAUCAUAGAACAGACCUUGUAUUUAUUAUGGCUGCACUUAGAUUUUUACGUGAGAUCUUCGUCGGGUACAGCUAGCAAGUGUUUUACGCCUGCUUUCGAAGGAUAUAACGGAACAGUCAUUUUCUCGAAGACCCAUUACAUUUCACCUCCCUAUCUUCUGAAAUCGGUAAACGGUAAAUCAGUACUCCCAGUUAGGUUUUGUAGACAGUGGAUCAGAAUGCACGACAAAUAUACAACUACGAAUAAUUAUUAAAAUUAGUUAACUAUCGAAAAACAAUGCAUUUUUUAAGGAUAUCAGUUUGGAAAUGAACCGUAAAUUGUAAUAUCGCCUGGCGUUUAGCAGGAAGAGAAUACCUUCCGCACGCUUUAUCCAUGGAAGACAUCGGUUUAUUGAAACAAAAUCUAAUAUCGGUGUUUAACGAAACAUUUUCCAGC